GGUAACAGUCGGGGGAGCUUGCUCUUUGCCGACGAGCGGCGGACGGGUGCGUAACACGUAGGAAUCUGCCUGGUAGUGGGGGAUAGCCCGGAGAAAUCCGGAUUAAUACCGCAUACGCCCUACGGGGGAAAGGAGGGGACUCUUCGGAGCCUUUCGCUAUCAGAUGAGCCUGCGUCGGAUUAGCUGGUUGGUGGGGUAAAGGCCUACCAAGGCGACGAUCCGUAGCUGGUCUGAGAGGAUGAUCAGCCACACUGGGACUGAGACACGGCCCAGACUCCUACGGGAGGCAGCAGUGGGGAAUAUUGCACAAUGGGCGAAAGCCUGAUGCAGCCAUGCCGCGUGUGUGAAGGAGGCCCUAGGGUUGUAAAGCACUUUCAGUGGGGAGGAAAGGUUGAGGGUUAAUACCCUUCAGCUGUGACGUUACCCACAGAAGAAGCACCGGCUAACUCCGUGCCAGCAGCCGCGGUAAUACGGAGGGUGCGAGCGUUAAUCGGAAUUACUGGGCGUAAAGCGUGCGUAGGCGGCUACCUAAGUUGGAUGUGAAAGCCCCGGGCUCAACCUGGGAACUGCAUCCAAAACUGGGUGGCUGGAGUACGGGAGAGGAGUGUGGAAUUUCCUGUGUAGCGGUGAAAUGCGUAGAUAUAGGAAGG
rnacentral:rRNA from 1 species